rnacentral:rRNA from 1 species
UACGUAGGGUGCAAGCGUAAUCGGAAUUACUGGGCGUAAAGCGUGCGCAGGCGGUUUUGUAAGUCUGUCGUGAAAAUCCCCCGGGCUCAACCUGGGAAUUGCGUUGGAGACUGCAAGGCUGGAGUCUGGCAGAGGGGGGGUAGAAUUCCACGUGUAGCAGUGAAAUGCGUAGAGAUGUGGAGGAACACCGAUGGCGAAGGCAGCCCCCUGGGU